rnacentral:rRNA from 1 species
AUUGAACGCUGGCGGCAGGCCUAACACAUGCAAGUCGAGCGGAUGAAGGGAGCUUGCUCCUGGAUUCAGCGGCGGACGGGUGAGUAAUGCCUAGUAAUCUGCCUGGUAGUGGGGGAUAACGUCCGGAAACGGGCGCUAAUACCGCAUACGUCCUGAGGGAGGAAGUGGGGGAUCUUCGGACCUCACGCUAUCAGAUGAGCCUAGGUCGGAUUAGCUAGUUGGUGGGGUAAAGGCCUACCAAGGCGACGAUCCGUAACUGGUCUGAGAGGAUGAUCAGUCACACUGGAACUGAGACACGGUCCAGACUCCUACGGGAGGCAGCAGUGGGGAAUAUUGGACAAUGGGCGAAAGCCUGAUCCAGCCAUGCCGCGUGUGUGAAGAAGGUCUUCGGAUUGUAAAGCACUUUAAGUUGGGAGGAAGGGCAGUAAGUUAAUACCUUGCUGUUUUGACGUUACCAACAGAAUAAGCACCGGCUAACUUCGUG